GAUGAACGCUGGCGGCGUGCCUAAUACAUGCAAGUCGAGCGAACAGAUGAGGAGCUUGCUCCUCUGACGUUAGCGGCGGACGGGUGAAUAACACGUGGAUAACCUACCUAUAAGACUGGGAUAACUUCGGGAAACCGGAGCUAAUACCGGAUAAUAUAUUGAACCGCAUGGUUCAAUAGUGAAAGACGGUUUUGCUGUCACUUAUAGAUGGAUCCGCGCCGCAUUAGCUAGUUGGUAAGGUAACGGCUUACCAAGGCAACGAUGCGUAGCCGACCUGAGAGGGUGAUCGGCCACACUGGAACUGAGACACGGUCCAGACUCCUACGGGAGGCAGCAGUAGGGAAUCUUCCGCAAUGGGCGAAAGCCUGACGGAGCAACGCCGCGUGAGUGAUGAAGGUCUUCGGAUCGUAAAACUCUGUUAUUAGGGAAGAACAAAUGUGUAAGUAACUAUGCACGUCCUGACGGUACCUAAUCAGAAAGCCACGGCUAACUACGUG
rnacentral:rRNA from 1 species